GAUGAACGCUAGCGGGAGGCCUAACACAUGCAAGCCGAGCGGUAUUGUUUCUUCGGAAAUGAGAGAGCGGCGUACGGGUGCGGAACACGUGUGCAACCUGCCUUUAUCUGGGGGAUAGCCCUUCGAAAGGAAGAUUAAUACUCCAUAAUAUAUUGAACGGCAUCGUUUAAUAUUGAAAGCUCCGGCGGAUAGAGAUGGGCACGCGCAAGAUUAGCUAGUUGGUGAGGUAACGGCUCACCAAGGCGAUGAUCUUUAGGGGGCCUGAGAGGGUGAUCCCCCACACUGGUACUGAGACACGGACCAGACUCCUACGGGAGGCAGCAGUGAGGAAUAUUGGUCAAUGGGUGCAAGCCUGAACCAGCCAUCCCGCGUGAAGGACGACUGCCCUAUGGGUUGUAAACUUCUUUUGUAUAGGGAUAAACCUACCCUCGUGAGGGUAGCUGAAGGUACUAUACGAAUAAGCACCGGCUAACUCCGUGCCAGCCGCCGCAGUAAAAC
rnacentral:rRNA from 1 species